CUACGGGAGGCACCAGUGGGGAAUAUUGCACAAUGGAGGAAACUCUGAUGCAGCAACGCCGCGUGGAGGAUGACACUUUUCGGAGCGUAAACUCCUUUUAUAUAGGAAGAAGAUGACGGUACUAUAUGAAUAAGCGCCGGCUAACUCCGUGCCAGCAGCCGCGGUAAUACGGAGGGCGCAAGCGUUACUCGGAAUCACUGGGCGUAAAGAGCGUGUAGGCGGAUUAAAAAGUCAGAAGUGAAAUCCUAUAGCUUAACUAUAGAACUGCUUCUGAAACUCUUAAUCUAGAAUAUGGGAGAGGUAGAUGGAAUUUCUGGUGUAGGGGUAAAAUCCGUAGAGAUCAGAAGGAAUACCGAUUGCGAAGGCGAUCUACUAGAACAUUAUUGACGCUGAGACGCGAAAGCGUGGGGAGCAAACAGGAUUAGAUACCCCAGUAGUC
rnacentral:rRNA from 1 species